rnacentral:rRNA from 1 species
UACGUAGGGUGCGAGCGUUAAUCGGAAUUACUGGGCGUAAAGCGUGCGCAGGCGGUUUUGUAAGGCAGAUGUGAAAUCCCCGGGCUUAACCUGGGAAUGGCAUUUGGGACUGCAAGGCUGGAGUGUGGCAGAGGAGACUGGAAUUCCCGGUGUAGCAGUGAAAUGCGUAGAUAUCUAGAGGAACACCGGUGGCGAAGGCGGCAUCCUGGACCGGUAUUGACGCUGAGGCGCGAAAGCCAGGGGAGCAAACGGG